UACGUAGGGGGCAAGCGUUGUCCGGAUUUAUUGGGCGUAAAGAGCGUGUAGGCGGCUAGGUAGGUCCGUUGUGAAAACUCGAGGCUCAACCUCGAGACGUCGGUGGAAACCAUCUAGCUAGAGUCCGGAAGAGGAGAGUGGAAUUCCUGGUGUAGCGGUGAAAUGCGCAGAUAUCGGGAGGAACACCUGUGGCGAAAGCGGCUCACUGGACCACAACUGACGCUGAGGCGCGAAAGCUAGGGGAGCAAACAGGAUAGAA
rnacentral:rRNA from 1 species